GACGAACGCUGGCGGCGUGCCUAAUACAUGCAAGUCGAACGCACUCUCGUUAGAUUGAAGAAGCUUGCUUCUGAUUGAUAACAUUUGAGUGAGUGGCGGACGGGUGAGUAACACGUGGGUAACCUGCCCUAAAGUGGGGGAUAACAUUUGGAAACAGAUGCUAAUACCGCAUAAAACCUAGCACCGCAUGGUGCAAGGUUGAAAGAUGGUUUCGGCUAUCACUUUAGGAUGGACCCGCGGUGCAUUAGUUAGUUGGUGAGGUAAAGGCUCACCAAGACCGUGACGGCAUAGCCGACCUGAGAGGGUAAUCGGCCACACUGGGACUGAGACACGGCCCAGACUCCUACGGGAGGCAGCAGUAGGGAAUCGUUCCACAAUGGACGAAAGUCUGAUGGAGCAACGCCGCGUGAGUGAAGAAGG
rnacentral:rRNA from 1 species